rnacentral:rRNA from 1 species
AUACGUAGGGUGCAAGCGUUAAUCGGAAUUACUGGGCGUAAAGCGUGCGCAGGCGGUUUUGUAAGACAGUGGUGAAAUCCCCGGGCGCAACCUGGGAACUGCCAUUGUGACUGCAAGGCUGGAGUGCGGCAGAGGGGGAUGGAAUUCCGCGUGUAGCAGUGAAAGGCGUAGAUAUGCGGAGGAACACCGAUGGCGAAGGCAAUCCCCUGGGCCUGCACUGACGCUCAUGCACGAAAGCGUGGGGAGCAAUCAGGAUUAGAUACCCUGGUAGUCCACGCCCUAAACGAUGUCAACUGGUUGUUGGGGAUUUAUUUUCUCAGUAACGAAGCUAACGCGUGAAGUUGACCGCCUGGGGAGUACGGCCGCAAGGUUAAAACUCAAAGGAAUUGACGGGG